AGACAACAUAAAAAAUUCGAUCUAUUCGAAACCUAACCCAACCCAAGUUUAUUCCCUUUAAAAGAGAAACUUACCCUAAACGCCUCAUUUUCACUUUUCAAAUUUUCUCCUUUCUUCCAAAUGCUCCCAUUCGACAGCUUCCAAAACCUCUAGCUCUGUCGUCUCCUCUUGUGAGUUUACUUCCACCUUGCUCUACCUCCACUUUGUAUUAUCCAACUCACACAAGAGUGUUCACUGUUUGGAGGAGGUAGUAGGUUGUCCAUCAUCAUGUGUAUUUGAGGGAGGUUGCUAUCUAGAAUCCACAGUUGGACCAAAGGUACCAGUUGAAGCACCUAGAUCAUAAUCAGACACUAUGUGGCUUUCAGUCAGCAGGUGAUGAGCCCUUUUGAUUCGAGGGGAUCGAGUCAAUUAUUGUUCGAGUAGCAUCUUAUUUUCUUUAUUCAUUCGUAUUGAUCAGGGAGAGUUGGGGGUCAUGUCUUGGCUACCUAUAGUUAGUAUUAGUAGAGACUUCAUAGAUAGUCAGUAGAGUUGAUGUAUUUAAUUUCUGUUUUGUUUUUGUAUAACCAUAGUUGUAAUCACUUUUUACAUUUUUGUAUUGAACCAACUUAGUAAAGACUUUUUUUCCA